GACGAACGCUGGCGGCGUGCUUAACACAUGCAAGUCGAACGGAAACGCCCUGCUAGCGUGGGGUGCCCGAGUGGCGAUCGCGUGAGUAACACGUGUGUAACCUACCCUUGAUUUUGGGAUAACUUCACGAAACUGGGGCUAAUACCGGAUAGCAGCUCCUGUACCAUGGAGGGCGUUGGAUAGUUGCGGCGGUUGGGGAUGGACUCGCGGCUUAUCAGCUUGUUGGUGGGCUAGUGGCUUACCAAGGCAUUGACGGGUAGCCGGCCGGGGAGCGUGACCGGCCACAUUGGUACUGAGGUACGGACCAGUGGCCAACGGGGGGCAGCAGUGGCGAAUAUUACACAAUGGGCCGAAGCCUGAUACAAAAGCGCCGGGUGCGGGAUGACGGCCUUCUGGUUGUGAACCGCUUUCGCCUGAGACGAAGCGUGACUGACGGUAAUGAGUAAAGAAGCACCGGCUAACUACGUG
rnacentral:rRNA from 1 species